AUUUGUUUCAGUUGUCUGCUCUAAGGAAGCUUCUUAUUCCUAGAUUCAAGCAGAAAAGGUGAAGCCAGAAACUUGAAGCAAGGUAAGACUUAAAGUACCUAAACUGGUUGUCAAUGACUCCCAUUUCCAAUAACUGUGCCAGUAUUGGGUCCAAUCCUGUCCUCCAUUAAGUGAUGAUGAGGCAGAGCAUAGGGAAAUACAUUAUUACUGCGAAGGUGACUGAACGCUAAAGCAGAUGGCAUGUGGAGGUUGUGGUAUCUCAGUCUAUGGAGACAUUCAAAACUUGG
rnacentral:lncRNA from 1 species